UACCUUAUUGUUGCCUCUUGCGGAUCAACCCGCGCCCCGUAAACUUGGACGGCCCGCCAGAGGACCCAAACUCUAUUGUAUUUAAGUGUAUCUUCUGAGUAACACAAACAAAUAAAUCAAAACUUUCAACAACGGAUCUCUUGGUUCUGGCAUCGAUGAAGAACGCAACAAAAUGCGAUAAAUAAUGUGAAUUGCAAAAUUCAGUGAAUCAUCGAAUCUUUGAACGCACAUUGCGCCCGCCAGUAUUCUGGCGGGCAUGCCUGUUCAAACGUCAUUUCAACCCUCAAACCCCCGGGUUUGGUGUUGGGGAUCGGAUUGCUAGUCAGUCCGGCCCCGAAAUCUAGUGGCGGUCACGCUGCAGCUUCCAUUGCGUAGUAAAUAACACCUCGCAACUGGUACGCGGCGCGGCCAAACCGUUAAACCCCCAACUUCUGAAUGUUGACCUCGGAUCAGGUAGGAAUACCCGCUGAACUUAAACAUAUCAAUAAGCGGAGGAA
rnacentral:rRNA from 1 species